CAACCCUUAGCCUUGGCUCAUUUCCAUUUGCAAUUCACACUGUUCAGUCAAAUACACUCAGCAUAAUACAGAAUAUAUUAUAAUGUGAUCACAAUUCAUGAUUUACUCACAUACUAUCAUCCACUGGUACAUGUCAGCUCAAAAUGUCUUCCAUGGGGACAUAUACAUACUAGAUAUGAGUUCAGGUUAGAUCAGCAAGGCUGAGAUAUAUAAAAAGUACACUCCAAUGUCAGAUUAAUGCUGAAAAAAACUAUUAUGUCUUAAAUUCCCUGGAGACUUUCAUGUUAAGAUGAGCUCGCCACGUGAAUCAGACAAAUGUCCCUUCUGAAUAAUGAAAGCAAGGAGGAUCCUACCAGCCUUCCAUUGAAAGACACUAU
rnacentral:lncRNA from 1 species